AUUUACCAAUUGUUUGGAUUGGAGGGAGGCGUCUCUACACCUCUUGGGAAUUAAUUCGUAGAGUUUCAAUCUAUGCUUUUGCUAAUUUGGAGAUUCAUAGACUUUUGUGUGGCUCGCCUCAACUUGGAAGACUAGAAAUUUUUUUGAAGGAUCACAGGUGGGCAUCUUGUGGUUGAGGUUUUGCUUAGGGUCAUUCUAGGAUGUAAGCUUACCUUUUUUUUAUGAAGGAGGUUGAUUGUAAAUAUUGCUUAUGAAGUUGGAUGUAUUGAUGGAUUCGUGAUUAGUAUGUAUUAUAUUUUUUUGGGAGGAAAUGCUUGGGAACUAUCUUGUAGCAUGAUAAUACUUUUUGUCUUUGAAUAGAUCAUCUCAUAUAUGUUAGGCAAUUGAAAGGUCUUAUGCACUUUUGGUGA